AGGGCACUUAGACAAACCCCACAGCCCUACUGCCCAUCAGCAGUUACUUUACAAGUGCUUCCAAUGCCCCAUGAUCACCACCAUGCUGUGUUUUGCAGUAAAGUGGCUAUGGAAGGAAGGCCAUGGUCAACUGGGGAGGUUGUCCUCGAGAGCUGCCUCUUCAACAUUUUGAAAAGAAGAGACUGUUAUUAGGAGGGAAAGCACCAUCAUGACCUUCACCUAAGCACCUCUGAAUAUCCACAGUCAACCAUUCACCCUCUGCAAGGGGCAAUCCUAUUAAGCCUCAUUGCCUAGCACAGAUGCACGUCCUACAAGCCAAGAACAAAUGACUUGCAAUUUAGUCUUACAUUUCACAGUCAGGAACGGAGAGGGGGAGUGGAGGGGAGAGACGGCAGAGAGUGGAGGAAACACAGUUC
rnacentral:lncRNA from 1 species